rnacentral:rRNA from 1 species
CCUACGGGGGACAGCAGUGAGGAAUAUUGGUCAAUGGGCGCGAGCCUGAACCAGCCAAGUCGCGUGAGGGAGGACGGCCCUACGGGUUGUAAACCUCUUUUGCCGGGGAGCAACGGGCGCCACGUGUGGCGUCACUGAGAGUACCCGGAGAAAAAGCAUCGGCUAACUCCGUGCCAGCAGCCGCGGUAAUACGGAGGAUGCGAGCGUAAUCCGGAUUUAUUGGGUUAAAGGGGUGCGUAGCCGGAUCGUUAAGUCAGUGGUCAAAUUGAGGGGCUCAACCCCGUACCGCCAUUGAAACUGGCGUUCUUGAGUGGAGGAGAGGUAGGCGGAAUGCGUGGUGUAGCGGUGAAAUGCAUAGAUAUCACGCAGAACCCCGAUUGCGAAGGCAGCAUGCCGGCUUCCGACUGACGCUGAGGCACGAAAGCGUGGGGAGCAAACAGGAUUAGAUACCCCUGUAGUC